rnacentral:tRNA from 1 species
GUCGAUUUUAAAAAUCGUGAGGGUUCAAGUCCCUCUAUCCCCAAAAAGAC